rnacentral:rRNA from 1 species
UUCAAGGCAUACACCAUACGUGUCAUGACAUGGACAACAGCUUGAUUGAUGCCGCACCUGGCAUGGUUGGGUGUGGGCUCCCGUGACAUUUGCUCCGCAAAUGCACUGACGCCCACCAAAACCAUCGCCGCGUCGCGGCAAUGGUUUUUACUCGGUUUGGUGGUCAUAGCGUGAGCAAAACACCCGGAUCCAUUCCGAACCCGGCCGUUAAGUGCCACCGCGCCAAUGGUACUGCGUCUCAAGACGUGGGAGAGUAGGUCGCCGCCAAAC